UACGUAGGGUGCGAGCGUUGUCCGGAAUUAUUGGGCGUAAAGGGCUCGUAGGCGGUUUGUCGCGUCAGGAGUGAAAACUCGGGGCUUAACCCCGAGCCUGCUUCUGAUACGGGCAGACUAGAGGUAUGCAGGGGAGAACGGAAUUCCUGGUGUAGCGGUGAAGUGCGCAGAUAUCAGGAGGAACACCGGUGGCGAAGGCGGUUCUCUGGGCAUUACCUGACGCUGAGGAGCGAAAGUGUGGGGAGCGAACAGG
rnacentral:rRNA from 1 species